AUUGAACGCUGGCGGCAGGCCUAACACAUGCAAGUCGAGCGGAUGAGGGGUGCUUGCACCCUGAUUCAGCGGCGGACGGGUGAGUAAUGCCUAGGAAUCUGCCCGAUAGUGGGGGACAACGUUUCGAAAGGAACGCUAAUACCGCAUACGUCCUACGGGAGAAAGUGGGGGCUCUUCGGACCUCACGCUAUCGGAUGAGCCUAGGUCGGAUUAGCUAGUUGGUGGGGUAAAGGCUCACCAAGGCGACGGUCCGUAACUGGUCUGAGAGGAUGAUCAGUCACACUGGAACUGAGACACGUUCCAGACUGCUACGUGAGUCAGCAGUAGAGAAUAAUGGACAAUGGGCGAAAGCCUGAUCCAGCCAUGCCGCGUGUGUGAAGAAGGUCUUCGGAUUGUAAAGCACUUUAAGUCGGGAGGAAGGGCUGUAGGUUAAUACCUUGCAGCCUUGACGUUACCGACAGAAUAAGCACCGGCUACCUUCGUGCCAGCAGCCGCAGUAACAC
rnacentral:rRNA from 1 species